ACUGCUAAUACCACAUAAGCCCACGGCUCGGCAUCGAGCAGAGGGAAAAGGAGCAAUCCGCUUUGAGAUGGCCUCGCGUCCGAUUAGCUAGUUGGUGAGGUAAUGGCCCACCAAGGCGACGAUCGGUAGCCGGACUGAGAGGUUGAACGGCCACAUUGGGACUGAGACACGGCCCAGACCCCUACGGGAGGCAGCAGUGGGGAAUAUUGCACAAUGGGGGAAACCCUGAUGCAGCGACGCCGCGUGGAGGAAGAAGGUCUUCGGAUUGUAAACUCCUGUUGUUGAGGAAGAUAAUGACGGUACUCAACAAGGAAGUGACGGCUAACUACGUGCCAGCAGCCGCGGUAAAACGUAGGUCACAAGCGUUGUCCGGAAUUACUGGGUGUAAAGGGAGCGCAGGCGGGAAGACAAGUUGGAAGUGAAAUCCAUGGGCUCAACCCAUGAACUGCUUUCAAAACUGUUUUUCUUGAGUAGUGCAGAGGUAGGUGGAAUUCCGGUGUAGCGGUGGAAUGCGUAGAUAUCGGGAGGAACACCAGUGGCGAAGGCGGCCUACUGGGCACCAACUGACGCUGAGGCUCGAAAGUGUGGGUAGCAAACAGGAUUAGAUACCCUGGUAGUCCACACUGUAAACGAUGAUUACUAGGUGUUGGAGGAUUGACCCCUUCAGUGCCGCAGUUAACACAAUAAGUAAUCCACCUGGGGAGUACGACCGCAAGGUUGAAACUCAAAGGAAUUGACGGGGGCCCGCACAAGCAGUGGAGUAUGUGGUUUAAUUCGACGCAACGCGAAGAACCUUACCAAGUCUUGACAUCCUGCGACGGACAUAGAAAUAUGUUUUUCCUUCGGGACGCAGAGACAGGUGGUGCAUGGUUGUCGUCAGCUCGUGUCGUGAGAUGUUGGGUUAAGUCCCGCAACGAGCGCAACCCUUAUGGUCAGUUACUACGCAAGAGGACUCUGGCCAGACUGCCGUGACAAAACGGAGGAAGGUGGGGAUGACGUCAAAUCAUCAUGCCCUUUAUGACUUGGGCUACACACGUACUACAAUGGCGUUAAACAAAGAGAAGCAAGACCGCGAGGUGGAGCAAAACUCAGAAACAACGUCCCAGUUCGGACUGCAGGCUGCAACUCGCCUGCACGAAGUCGGAAUUGCUAGUAAUCGCAGAUCAGCAUGCUGCGGUGAAUACGUUCCCGGGCCUUGUACACACCGCCCGUCACACCAUGAGAGCCGGGGGGACCCGAAGUCGGUAGUCUAACCGCAAGGAGGACGCCGCCGAAGGUAAAACUGGUGAUUGGGGUGAAGUCGUAACAAGGUA
rnacentral:rRNA from 1 species